rnacentral:rRNA from 1 species
AUUGAACGCUGGCGGCAUGCCUUACACAUUCAAGUCGAACGGUAACGGGCCUUCGCGUGCCGACGAGUGGCGAACGGGUGAGUCAUAUAUCGGAACGUGCCCAGUAGUGGGGGAUAGCACGGCGAAAUGCGGAUUAAUACCGCAUACGACAUGAGGGUCAAAGCGGGAGAUCGCAAGACCUCGCGCAAUUGCAGCGGCCGAUAUCAGAUUAGCUAGUUGGUGGGGUAAAGGCCUACCAAGGCAACGAUCUGUAGUUGGUCUGAGAGGACGGCCAGACACACUGGGACUGAGACACGGACCAGACUCCUACGGGAGGCAGCAGGGGGAAAUUUUGGACAAUGGGCGCAAGCCUGAUCCAGCAAUGCCGCGUGCAGAAAGAAGGCCUUCGGGUUGUAAACUGCUUUUGUCAGGGAAGAAAUCUUCUGGGUUAAUACCUCGGGAGGAUGACGGUACCUGAAGAAUAAGCACCGGCUAACUACGUGCCAGCAGCCGCAGUAAAAC